rnacentral:rRNA from 1 species
GACCCUACGGGGCGCAGCAGUAGGGAAUCUUCCACAAUGGACGAAAGUCUGAUGGAGCAACGCCGCGUGAGUGAAGAAGGGUUUCGGCUCGUAAAGCUCUGUUGGUAGUGAAGAAAGAUAAAGGUAGUAACUGGCCUUUAUUUGACGGUAAUUACUUAGAAAGUCACGGCUAACUACGUGCCCGCAGCCGCGGUAAUACGUAGGUGGCAAGCGUUGUCCGGAUUUAUUGGGCGUAAAGCGAGUGCAGGCGGUUCCAUAAAUCUCAU